ACCAUCGACUAUCAAUGAGUAAGCCAAUCGACAGUUGACAAUUCUCAACCAAUUUUUCUGACAAAUAUCAUUCAACUAUAGCGACUCAACCGGCUUCAUAACUGAUGGCCAGUUGGUAUAUCAGAGUCAUCGACUGAUGGUCAUUCAAAUUUCUACAAUCACCGAUAUACAGUCGAUGCAUUCAAACUACUGACAUAAAGUCGGCAUAUCAGAAAAUACCAGC
rnacentral:lncRNA from 1 species